rnacentral:rRNA from 1 species
AACACAUGCAAGUCGAGGGGCAGCAUUUCAGUUUGCUUGCAAACUGGAGAUGGCGACCGGCGCACGGGUGAGUAACACGUAUCCAACCUGCCGAUAACUCGGGGAUAGCCUUUCGAAAGAAAGAUUAAUACCCGAUGGUAUAAUCAGACCGCAUGGUUUGAUUAUUAAAGAAUUUCGGUUAUCGAUGGGGAUGCGUUCCAUUAGGCAGUUGGUGAGGUAACGGCUCACCAAACCUUCGAUGGAUAGGGGUUCUGAGAGGAAGGUCCCCCACAUUGGAACUGAGACACGGUCCAAACUCCUACGGGAGGCAGCAGUGAGGAAUAUUGGUCAAUGGGCGCAGGCCUGAACCAGCCAAGUAGCGUGAAGGAUGACUGCCCUAUGGGUUGUAAACUUCUUUUAUAUGGGAAUAAAGUUUUCCACGUGUGGAAUUUUGUAUGUACCAUAUGAAUAAGGAUCGGCUAACUCCGUGCCAGCAGCCGCGGUAAUACGGAGGAUCCGAGCGUUAUCCGGAUUUAUUGGGUUUAAAGGGAGCGUAGGUGGACAGUUAAGUCAGUUGUGAAAGUUUGCGGCUCAACCGUAAAAUUGCAGUUGAUACUGGCUGUCUUGAGUACAGUAGAGGUGGGCGGAAUUCGUGGUGUAGCGGUGAAAUGCUUAGAUAUCACGAAGAACUCCGAUUGCGAAGGCAGCUCACUGGACUGCAACUGACACUGA